CAGCAAUGCGGGAUGAUGGCGACCGGCAAACGGGUGCGGAACACGUACACAACCUUCCUUUUAGUGGGGAAUAGCCCGGGGAAACCCGGAUUAAUACCCCGUAACAUAAUGAAGUGGCAUCACUUUAUUAUUAUAGCAGCAAUGCGCUUUAAGAUGGGUGUGCGACUGAUUAGGCAGUUGGCGGGGUAACGGCCCACCAAACCUACGAUCAGUAACUGGUGUGAGAGCACGACCAGUCACACGGGCACUGAGACACGGGCCCGACUCCUACGGGAGGCAGCAGUAAGGAAUAUUGGUCAAUGGACGCAAGUCUGAACCAGCCAUGCCGCGUGGAGGAUGAAGGUCCUCUGGAUUGUAAACUUCUUUUAUCUGGGAAGAAAUCCACGAAUUCUUUUGUGGUUGACGGUACCAGAUGAAUAAGCACCGGCUAACUCCGUGCCAGCAGCCGCGGUAAUACGGAGGGUGCAAGCGUUAUCCGGAUUCACUGGGUUUAAAGGGUGCGUAGGUGGGCAGGUAAGUCAGUGGUGAAAUCUCCGGGCUUAACUCGGAAACUGCCAUUGAUACUAUCUGUCUUGAAUACCGUGGAGGUCAGCGGAAUAUGUCAUGUAGCGGUGAAAUGCUUAGAUAUGACAUAGAACACCAAUUGCGAAGGCAGCUGGCUACACGAAUAUUGACACUGAUGCACGAAAGCGUGGGGAUCAAACAGGAUUAGAUACCCUGGUAGUCCACGCCCUAAACGAUGGAUACUCGACAUACGCGAUAUACUGUGUGUGUCUGAGCGAAAGCAUUAAGUAUCCCACCUGGGAAGUACGAUCGCAAGAUUGAAACUC
rnacentral:rRNA from 1 species